rnacentral:misc_RNA from 1 species
UACGGAGGGUGUGAGCGUUAAUCGGAAUUACUGGGCGUAAAGCGCGCGUAGGCGGUUACGUAAGUCGGAUGUGAAAGCCCCGGGCUCAACCUGGGAAUGGCAUUCGAUACUGCGUGGCUUGAGUUUGGGAGAGGGAAGUGGAAUUCCGGGUGUAGCGGUGAAAUGCGUAGAUAUCCGGAGGAACACCAGUGGCGAAGGCGACUUCCUGGCCUAAAACUGACGCUGAGGCGCGAAAGCGUGGGGAGCAAACAGG